rnacentral:rRNA from 1 species
GGUACAACGAGUCGCAAGCUCGCGAGAGUAAGCUAAUCUCUUAAAGCCGUUCUCAGUUCGGACUGUAGGCUGCAACUCGCCUACACGAAGUCGGAAUCGCUAGUAAUCGCGGAUCAGCAUGCCGCGGUGAAUACGUUCCCGGGCCUUGUACACACCGCCCGUCACACCAUGGGAGUUUGUAACGCCCAAAGUCGGUGGCCUAACCUUUAUGGAGGGAGCCGCCUAAGGCGGGACAGAUGACUGGGGUGAAGUCGUAACAAGGUAAC